GCUUAACCAAAUGUAUAUGGUUGCUUUAGGGAUUAUUGUAGCUGCUUGGUUUACGAAAUUACCUGAAUGGACUACUUGGGUUGUUCUUGUUGCACUUGCUUUGUAUGAUCUUGUUGCAGUUUUAGCUCCUGGUGGACCGUUGAAGAUGUUGGUGGAGCUGGCUUCUAGUAGGGAUGAAGAGUUGCCUGCUUUGGUAUACGAGGCUCGGCCUAAUGUGAGUUCGAGAUCAGGGAGUAGAGGACCAAGUUUAGGGCUUUUGUUAGCUGGUUUUUCUGAUGGGGACCCGAUUGAGCUUCGGGUUAUGUCGAGUAGUGAAAAUGUGGUUCAGAAUGGGAGGGUUGUGAGUGAGAUGAGGAGUGAAAGUGAAGAGAUUGAUGAUGUUAGAGAGGUUGAAAUUGAGGGGGAGAUGCUACCAUUGAUGGGUAGUAGUAGUAGUAGUAACAACGAAAGAGAAAGGCCGGUGGUCAAUGAAGAGAUAAGAGAAAAUAAUGAGAGUGAUCGAGGUCGGGUUUUGGAGAGGGAAAUUGAGGAAGAGGAGGAGAGAGGAAGGGGGAUAAAGCUUGGUUUGGGAGAUUUUGUUUUCUAUAGUGUGUUGGUGGGGAGAGCUGCAAUGUACGAUUUGAUGACCGUUUAUGCUUGUUAUCUCGCUAUUAUAUCUGGAUUAGGGUGCACGCUUAUACUGUUAGCGGUGUGUCGACAUGCCUUGCCAGCACUUCCCAUAUCCAUUGCUUUGGGGGUCAUCUUUUACUUCUUGACAAGGCUGUUGAUGGAGCCAUUCGUUGUUGGGACUUCGACAAAUCUUUUGAUGUUUUGACCCCUGGCAUGUGGAGGAGGAAGUUAGAAAGUACAGGAUAUAUUGAGUUCUAAGACAUAUAUUUUGAUUUAGAAGAAAACUAGUUGCUUUCGGUACACCUUUGUUUCAAGGUUCCGAGCAGGAAGGGACAACUCGGCUAUAUUUUGUUCUGAUCUAUCUGUAAAAUCGCAAGUCUAUUGAGGUUUGUCCCUCUAUUGAUUCUCUAACUGAUUUUGGUAUACCUAAUAUUGUUAAGAGUGUUAUAA
rnacentral:misc_RNA from 1 species